AAGUCGUAACAAGGUUUCCGUAGGUGAACCUGCGGAAGGAUCAUUAAAAAUUUUGCCGGAACCAAAAGAUUUUUUUCUUUUUCCGGUCAAAAAGUUGCGCGCACCGUUUCGUUUCUCCUUGGCAAGGGCUUUGGUUCUUUUUUUUUCUUUGAGGAUCCAACUUUCGCACUGACUCCAUCCCCCUUUUUUUUGGGGGGACAGCCGGUGUGGUAAAGCCGUUUCCCUGCCGAGGAAAUUCAUAAAAAACACGCUUUUGCAGAAACCUCUUGUCUGAAAUUUUUUUUUGCGAUUUUUUGCGCAUAAAACAAAAUAUAACUUUCAACAACGGAUCUCUUGGCUCUC
rnacentral:misc_RNA from 1 species